rnacentral:SRP_RNA from 12 species
GUGGGGCGGGAUCGUCGUGGGCUGAGCCCGGUAUGGAACCCCUCCCGGAGUCCCUCCCGGGGUCUUCGCGUGAGGAAUCUGCGAUGGAGGAA